rnacentral:snRNA from 1 species
AUACUUACCUGGCAGGGGAGACACCAUGAUCAAGAAGGCUGUUCACCCAGGGCGAUGCUUGUCCAUUGCACUCAGGCAAUGCUGACCCCUGCAAAUUCCCCAAAUGCAGGAAUCUCGACUGCAUAAUUUUUUUGGGAAGUCGUGGCCUAAU